GGGUCUCCCCGCUUGGCGUGGUCCCUAAGAAAGAACCGGGAUUUCCGGUCCUUUCUACCGGAAGCGGAUCUGGAGGGCAAGAGAUGCCCGUCGUACCUGUGGGACUUGGUGGACCGCAGCUGAUGACGCUGGUCAGAUCUUCAGUUUCCCCUGCUACAUGGCAGGCGCAUGGUCCAGGGCGUCCGGCUGUAUGGAUGAUCGGCCAUGCCUAC